rnacentral:rRNA from 1 species
CCUACGGGAGGCAGCAGUGGGGAAUAUUGCACAAUGGGGGAAACCCUGAUGACGCGACGCCGCGUGAGUGAAGAAGUAAUUCGUUACGUAAAGCUCUAUCAGCAGGGAAGAAAAUGACGGUACCGGAGUAAGAAGCCCCGGCGAACUACGUGCCAGCAGCCGCGGUAAUACGUAGGGGGCAAGCGUUAUCCGGAUUUCCUGGGUGUAAAGGGAGCGUAGAGGGUGCGACAAGUGUGGAGUGAAAUGCCAAAGCUUAACGUCGGAACUGCUUUGGAAACUGGCGAACUAGAGUGCGGGAGGGGUAAGCGGAAUUCCUAGUGUAGCGGUGAAAUGCGGAGAUAUUAGGAGGAACACCAGUGGCGCAGGCGUCUUACUGGACUGUACCUGACGUUGAGGCUCGAAAGCGUGGGGAGCAAACAGGAUUAGAUACCCCUGUAGUC